GUACAGCUCCUCGAGUUAUGGUUUCUGUUUCUUUGUGGAUCCUGUUUGUAAUAAUGCACCUGCUUGUAAUAAUAAUAGCACUCUGGAUUUCAACUGCAGCUUUUAUCUGAGCAUCUCCAAAGAGAUUACAGGAGAAGACUGAAGGAAGACAUGAUAACAGCCAUUCAGUAUAUGAAAUAGCUUCGAUCCAGAGGUCUUUUUGGCAACCUAAUCUAUAUGUUGGUCUUCUGCACUAACAUGAGGUCUGCUCAACCAGCUCUACGUCUUCUCACAGGUAGAGAAUCUCCAACUAUCUCCGGUGCAGGAGAAAUCAACCCCAAGACAUCACUGGAGAUUUAUACCAUACAGUUGUUUGGGUCAAUAGGCUACUUAUGAGGAACCUAUAAACAGAAGAGUGUAUGUAUUGCAAUGCUACUCCAGUGGAGGACUAAACACAUCGAUGGAAAAAAUAGAAAACCAGGACUUCAUCUCCACUACAGAUGUGCUUAGCAUUAUAAUGAGUAGGCUCUCUGUCUUAUGAGGGAAGCUUGUCUGCCAUCCUCCUCUAAGCAAUAGGUCAUGAAGGCCAGUUCCAAUAACCAUUAGUGCGUAGCCAUUUUCAACUGCCCCAUAUCCAAACUGAUGCGACAGCUGAGUCACAACAGCAGUUCAGAGGAAGAAAAGGGGAACAAAAACACUGUCUAGCUGAUGACAAAUAGAUAGAAAAUAAACUGCAGAUGGACAGGCCACCUGAAUUUGCUUAUUCUUAUUGGUUUAAUUUUGCACGCUUGAUCUUUCAUCCUGAUUUUCAUUCUGAAACUGUCUGCUUGCAGUCCUAGUCCCCCUGCUCCUGCUAAAAUUGUUACAGGGCUUUGAUCUGUAGAUGUCACUUAUUUAGUAAAGACAAGAUGCAUGAUUUACUGAUGGAAAUGUUUUUAUUGUUCAAAUAUUCUGUAUGAGAAAGUGCCAAGGUUUCUUAUGCUGCUAUUGUAUACUGUGGUACCUCAUAAGAAAACUCAGAGGCAAAAGAACCAAAGCAAAGAAAGAGAAAAAAAAAGAGCCACAGAGAAUGAGCAAAAUAUGACACUCAUAUCAUUGCAUGUCAGAAAUGUCACAUGGGUCCUGAAUACUGUCAUCAUUCAGCAAGGACAUCAGUCUGCAUCUGUCUCCAGACCUAUUUCACUAGGCCCAUCAAUAGAGCUCCCUAGAUACUUCAUUGUCACCUGUCAAUCAUGCUCUAAAAAUAAA